rnacentral:rRNA from 1 species
GACAGAGGUGCCGAGCGUUAGGCGGAAUCACUGGGCUUAAAGCGUGUGUAGGCGGGCGAUCAAGUACCUUGUGAAAUCCCACGGCUCAACCGUGGAACCGCUGGGUAUACUGGUUGUCUUGAGCCGGCUAGGGGCGAGCGGAACAGACGGUGGAGCGGUGAAAUGCGUAGAGAUCGGAAAGAACACCAACGGCGAAAGCACUCUGCUGGGCCGACACUGACACUGAGAGACGAAAGCUAGGGGAGCGAAUGGG